rnacentral:rRNA from 1 species
GGGMUGGCWGMUGCCUACACAUGCAGUCGAACGGCAGCACAGCAGUAGCAAUACUGUGGGUGGCGAGUGGCGGACGGGUGAGUAAUGCAUCGGGACCUGCCCAGACGUGGGGGAUAACNUAGGGAAACUUACGCUAAUACCGCAUACGUCCUACGGGAGAAAGCGGGGGAUCGAAAGACCUCGCGCGGUUGGAUGGACCGAUGUUCGAUUAGCUAGUUGGUGAGGUAAUGGCUCACCAAGGCGACGAUCGAUAGCUGGUCUGAGAGGAUGAUCAGCCACACUGGGACUGAGACACGGCCCAGACUCCUACGGGAGGCAGCAGUGGGGAAUAUUGGACAAUGGGCGCAAGCCUGAUCCAGCAAUGCCGCGUGUGUGAAGAAGGCCUUCGGGUUGUAAAGCACUUUUAUCAGGAGCGAAAUACCACGGGUUAAUACCCUAUGGGGCUGACGGUACCUGAGGAAUAAGCACCGGCUAACUUCGUGCCAGCAGCCGCGGUAAUACGAAGGGUGCAAGCGUUAAUCGGAAUUACUGGGCGUAAAGCGUGCGUAGGCGGUUUGUUAAGUCUGUUGUGAAAUCCCCGGGCUCAACCUGGGAAUGGCAAUGGAUACUGGCAAGCUAGAGUGUGAUAGAGGAUGGUGGAAUUCCCGGUGUAGCGGUGAAAUGCGUAGAGAUCGGGAGGAACAUCAGUGGCGAAGGCGGCCAUCUGGAUCAACACUGACGCUGAGGCACGAAAGCGUGGGGAGCAAACAGGAUUAGAUACCCUGGUAGUCCACGCCCUAAACGAUGCGAACUGGAUGUUGGUCUCAACUCGGAGAUCAGUGUCGAAGCUAACGCGUUAAGUUCGCCGCCUGGGGAGUACGGUCGCAAGACUGAGACUCAAAGGAAUUGACGGGGGCCCGCACAAGCGGUGGAGUAUGUGGUUUAAUUCGAUGCAACGCGAAGAACCUUACCUGGCCUUGACAUGUCUGGAAUCCUGCAGAAAUGCGAGAGUGCCUUCGGGAAUCAGAACACAGGUGCUGCAUGGCUGUCUUCAGCUCGUGUCGUGAGAUGUUGGGUUAAGUCCCGCAACGAGCGCAACCCUUGUCCUUAGUUGCCAGCACGUAAUGGUGGGAACUCUAAGG